rnacentral:lncRNA from 1 species
GAGGUGGUGUGUGAUGAGCAUGGCAUUGACCCAACUGGGCGGUACACAGGCAACUCUGACCUGCAGUUGGAGCGUGUCAAUGUCUACUACAACGAGGCCUCCUGUGGCCGCUUUGUGCCCCGUGCUGUCCUCAUGGACCUUGAGCCUGGGACAAUGGACAGUGUCCGCACUGGACCCUAUGGGCAGAUCUUCCGCCCUGACAACUUUGUGUUUGGGCAAUCUGGAGCCGGUAACAACUGGGCUAAGGGCCAUUACACUGAGGGUGCUGAGCUCAUUGACUCUGUUCUGGACGUUGUGAGGAAGGAAGCAGAGAACUGUGACUGCCUGCAAGGUACUUGAGCUUAUUGACAUUAACUGAUUGCUGGUAGUUAUUAGAUCAGUUUCUGUUGAAACAAUUAGGGUGAGAUGCUCAUGUAGAAGUAUCUCCUACUGUUUUAAUUUUUUUUUGUUUUUAACAUGCAUGUGAAUUAUUAUGAAGCUGCUCUUGCUCGUCCUAGUUCGAGUCCUAUAUUCCUGCACUGUCCUUAAUGACAUUGUUACUUAUUACUGAUUGUUUAGAAAUUUUGUAUUUUAGUACCUAUAUUUUGUGCCAUUGGCAUAUCUACAUUGAACAAAUGGCAUGCAUAGCAAGCUGUUAUAACUGAUCAUCAAUGUCUUAUCUGUGUCCUAUUUCUUUGUUGGAAUGUUUUUUUCUAUUGACCAGGCAACAUUAACGCCAUCUUUUUGUUUGUUCAGGAUUCCAAGUAUGCCACUCUCUUGGUGGUGGUACUGGAUCUGGUAUGGGUACGCUGUUGAUCUCAAAGAUCAGGGAGGAGUACCCUGACCGCAUGAUGCUGACAUUCUCAGUUUUCCCCUCACCGAAAGUAUCUGAUACCGUGGUUGAGCCAUACAAUGCCACUCUUUCAGUCCACCAGUUGGUUGAGAAUGCUGAUGAGUGCAUGGUUCUUGACAAUGAGGCCCUCUAUGACAUUUGCUUCAGGACUCUCAAGCUGACCACGCCUAGCUGUAAGCAGCCUUCAAUCUUAAUCAAUUUUAUCUUUUCAGCACUGUGGAUAUAUGCAUGCAUGUAUUGCCUGUGUAUGAUAACAUAUUCUGCAUGUCUGUUAAUUUCUGCAGUUGGGGAUUUGAACCAUUUGAUCUCUGCUACCAUGAGUGGAGUCACCUGCUGCCUUAGGUUCCCUGGUCAGCUGAACUCGGAUCUCCGGAAGCUGGCAGUGAACCUGAUCCCCUUCCCCCGUCUCCACUUCUUCAUGGUCGGCUUCGCCCCACUGACCUCCCGUGGCUCCCAGCAGUACCGUGCCCUCACUGUCCCUGAGCUCACACAGCAGAUGUGGGAUGCCAAGAACAUGAUGUGCGCUGCUGACCCUCGCCAUGGGCGUUACCUCACUGCCUCUGCCAUGUUCCGUGGGAAGAUGAGCACCAAGGAGGUGGACGAGCAGAUGAUCAACGUCCAGAACAAGAACUCGUCCUACUUCGUGGAGUGGAUCCCCAACAACGUGAAGUCCAGUGUGUGUGACAUCCCGCCAAGGGGCCUGUCCAUGGCGUCCACCUUCAUUGGCAACUCAACCUCUAUCCAGGAGAUGUUCCGGAGGGUGAGCGAGCAGUUCACAGCCAUGUUCAGGAGGAAGGCUUUCUUGCACUGGUACACAGGCGAGGGCAUGGACGAGAUGGAGUUCACUGAGGCCGAGAGCAACAUGAACGACCUCGUGUCGGAAUACCAGCAGUACCAGGACGCGACCGCGGACGAGGAGGGUGAGUACGAGGACGAGGAAGAGGAGAUGAACCCCGACGACAUGUGAGAUCUGUGACCAUGAGGCUCUGGUGGUUGUAGCCUUCUAUGGCAGGCAGAUUUCGAUGGGUUGUUCCUUACGUGUUUUGUUGCCAUGUUACUACUGCUAGCGUACCACCGUCCUGCCACUGUCCGUCGCUGUUGAUGCUUGUAUUUUCCUUAUGCUAUGGAGUCUUGCUUUUGGUACUGUAUUAC